rnacentral:other from 1 species
GGAAGUUUUAAAGGCUCGACGUUCUUUAAGAAUGGCUCCUUUUUACCCCAGCUUUCAAAUGCAAAUAUUAUUGCGCUAUGCGCACGGAGGUUUCAUUCUUAUGGAACAAGGUACUGUUAAAUGGUUCAACGCUGAUAAAGGUUACGGCUUCAUCACUUUGGAAAACGGCUCUGACGUUUUCGUUCACUUCUCUGCUAUCAACAGUGAAGGCUUCAAGACUCUUGAAGAAGGCCAACACGUAUCCCUUGACGUAGAACAAGGCGAUCGUGGCCCACAAGCUGCUAACGUUACGGUUGUUGACUAAUUUACAUUAGCCUAUAGCCAAAAAGGUCACCAUCUUCGGAUGGUGGCCUUUUU